CACAAGUGACACCUGGUGAAGGACUGCCGAUGAGCUGCUACAUCCGGAACGGGGAAGGGGACGUGCCAGAACCUCUGCUGUGCAUCCUGGACUCCUGUGAGCCACGGUAGCACAAGCUUCAGGAAGAUCUAGAGUCGACAAAAUCUACUGCAAAUACAUGUACAGGUUUAUGCUGCAGUGUAGAGCUCCCUGUGGCAUACAAUGGACAAGGCAGAGAAGUACAGAUCCACAUACGGAUUUUGGAAGUUACCAGAGAAAUAUUGACAUUUAUGUUAUUCAUAUAAGACCAAAGAUGUAGCACGGCCUUGCGAGUUCAGUACUUGAAAAUCAUUCUCGAGUGUGGAAAGAGAAGAGCGUUGAUGUCACCACCUUCUUAAACAGAUAAUGUUUGUGAAUUCUACUUUCAGCAACAAGAUGAUUCUGCAUUCCUCUGCUAUAUGUAACCUUAAAAAGAGACUGAAAGAUAGA
rnacentral:lncRNA from 1 species